AGGGCCACAUCACGUUGAAACACCGGUUCUCGUACGAUCAACGAAGUUAAACAACGUUGAGCCUGGUCAUUACCUCGGUGGCUGAUUGCUUGGGAAUACCA